rnacentral:sRNA from 1 species
UAUAAUUUCUGUUUACGCCAUAAGAAAAUACUAACAAUUACGACAAGAAUUAAUGAAAUACCUACCACAAUAAUCCAAGAUAUAUAACUA